rnacentral:pre_miRNA from 12 species
AAUAUAAUGGAAACAUUUCUGCACAAACUAAGGAAAUUAAUGUAUGGAAUUAUUUCUGCUAUAUU